AAUACUUCUCGCUUGUCUCCUGUCUGAAAUGACAGCAGUGUUGAAAACAAUAAUUAGAGCAACCACCUAAAGAAUGUUUUAUUGACUCUCUCUUAAAUUAAAAGACACAAAAAAAAAAGAAUCUGUACACAUAUAAUUUUGUCUAACAAAGUUUUUACAUGAGUGCAUUAAGUGUACAUUAUUUCCUAAGUUCUAAACCAAAACAUAAAGUAGUUGGACACUCGCCAAAGUUACCUCCACUCUCUCCAGUUCCAGAGU